CCCUUAGAUGUCCUGGGCCGCACGCGCGUUACACUGAUGCAUUCAACGAGCUUAUAACCUUGGCCGAGAGGCCUGGGCAAUCUUGUUAACGUGCAUCGUGAUAGGGAUAGAUUAUUGAAAUUAUUAAUCUUGAACGAGGAAUUCCUAGUAAACGCAGAUCAUCAAUCUGCAUUGAUUACGUCCCUGCCCUUUGUACACACCGCCCGUCGCACCUACCGAUUGGAUGGUCCGGUGAAGCCUCGGGAUUGUGGUUCUUGCCGCUUUAUUGUAGCGUGACCGCGAGAACUUGUCUAAACCUUAUCAUCUAGAGGAAGGUGAAGUCGUAACA
rnacentral:rRNA from 1 species